rnacentral:rRNA from 1 species
AUUGAACGCUGGCGGCAGGCCUAACACAUGCAAGUCGAGCGAGUGGCGGACGGGUGAGUAAUGUCUGGGAAACUGCCCGAUGGAGGGGGAUAACUACUGGAAACGGUAGCUAAUACCGCAUACCAUCAGAUGUGCCCAGAUGGGAUUAGCUAGUAGGUGGGGUAACGGCUCACCUGGGCGACGAUCCCUAGCGGGUCUGAGAGGAUGACCAGCCACACGGGAAAUAAGAACCGGGCCAGACUCCUACGGGAGGCAGCAGUGGGGAAUAGUGCACAAUGGGCGCAAGCCUGAUGCAGCCAUGCCGCGUGUAUGAAGAAGGCCUGCGGGUUGUAAAGUACUUUCAGUGGGGAGGCGUUACCCGCAGAAGAAGCACCGGCUAACUCCGUGCCAGCAGCCGCGGUAAUAC